UUUUAUUCGCUUUUAAUUUUCGAUUUCUUGGUAGAUAUGAAACGGAAGUUGUUUUUGAAUGAUGCUGGGAAACGACAUUGACAUGAAGUUUUUGCUGCUAGAGAACUUUUUGCUUUUGUUAAAAUAUGUGGAUUUAGGUUGAAUUGGAAACCAUAGUCAAUUAUUUACUAGAUGCUUUGAUUUGAUGAAAUUUUCCAGUGGAAGAUAUAUCAUUUGUGAAGCACAAGGACUGGGCAAGACGACUUGAGUGAAUUAAGCAUUGAAGAACUGCGUGGAAUAGAGAAAAAUUUUGGAUGAGUCUCUGAAAUCCUUCGCAAAAUGAAGGGCGUCCAGAAGCUUGCUCAAUUAACGGAUCAAAGCACAAACAAAACUGGCAUCUUUUUACCGGGUGGAAUCCUAAGACAACAUUCCAUCAAACUCAGAACAAUGCAAAACUUCCUCGUUGGCAAAAAAAGAAUGCAUCGGAAAUUCCUCAAUCUCAGCUGGAGUUAUACCUUUCGCUGUAGCAGGAAUCGAGUUCAUUAAAAGAAUUAAAAGAGACUGCGGAGCAUAGUCAAGUCCAGAUCAUUAGACUUCAAUGCAUGGACUGCACUAAUUAAUUAAAGAGACGGAGAAGGUGGCAGAGUAUGAUUAUUGUUGUGGAAUGCCUUACGCACAUCUAGCCUUUUGAUGAAAACGUAUGUAUGCUAAUGCAGUGCUAACAACGUCUUUCUACUAAAGCAUGGAUAUAUAGUUAAGAGCUUCUUAUUCAUUUGCGAGAUUGCAGGUGUAUAUUCGACUACAUUUACAUUUACCAACUAUUGUAGUUACACGGUAUGGCAUGGAUUGUUAGAAAGUGCAGGGUCAUCACCACAUGAAACUACAGGCUUCGUUCUUCAAUAAGGAGAAUCCAAGUUGAUUCCGGCCCCGACAUCGUGGUCAGGUCGUUUUUGGGGGAACCCUUUGUAGUUAAGAUUCUACAAUAGGUCAAUUCACUUGUGUAACAGGUGACUAUGGUUCAGGACAGAUUGAAUGCGCGGGAGGAGAUGUCGCGCCACCUGCUACACUGGCAGAGUUCACGCUCAACGGUUCAGGUGGUUUAUAUUUCUACCAUGUGAUUUUAGUCGAUGGUUACAACCUUCAGAUGUUGGUGGUUCCUAAAGGUGGGUCUGUUGGUACUGGUAAUUACAAUACUACUGUAUGUUGUUGAUCUCAGCAGAAUGUAUCCAACUGAACUGAAGGUGCUCUAUCAGAUUCAUCAACGCCAAAUGUAUCUUGUAAAAGUGUGUGUGAAGCAUUUCAUGAAGAUCGGUAUUGUUCCAGUGGUGCAUAUGCUAAUCCAGACACAUGGCGUCCAUCUUCAUAUUCGAAGAUCUUUAAACACGCUUGUCAAUUACAAGCUACAUAUGUAACUAGAUAGAUGAAUAUGUAA